GAGAGUGUCUUGCUCGGGAUUCCUGUGUGUCUGAGGCUUUCUGAAGAACAUGCCAGUAAAAAUGGACAGAUAUUUAUCAUGUAGGUGCACACCAAGGAGAUUAAUCAUGGGACUACACUAUCUUCACUUCCCAGUUUCACUCUUCAGUGAAUAAAAUAGAUGGAGUCUAAAUUUCUGAGGAAAGAAGAUUAAUUGAAAAGAUAUUUAGUCUCCAUAGUAAUGUUGCAUCCUUCCUAUCAGAGAUGAAAUUUCACAGAUGCUGCUUUGAUGAAUA
rnacentral:lncRNA from 1 species